rnacentral:snRNA from 1 species
GUGCUCGCUUCGGCAGCCCUUAUACUAAAAUUGGAAUGACACAGAGAAGAUUACCAUGGCCCCUGUGCAAGGACCGCAUGCAAAUUCAUGAAGAGUCCCGUAUUUUC